AGAAAAAAUUGUGUUAUCAUCACUUAUGCUAUACUACCAUGUGUUCUUAAUGAUGUCAGGAGAGAUCUCAAGGAUCCACUAAUCCUGAAGAAGCUAAAAGACCACAAUAUUACUGUAAUUGAAUUACCACAAGAAGAAGAAGAUUUUGAUGGCAAGGAAGAAGUUAUACAUGCCACAUCAUCUGAGGAAAACAUUCCCACCACAAGCACUACUUUG